rnacentral:rRNA from 1 species
CUUCUCCUGCCGGCGAGUGGCGAACGGGUGAGUAAUACAUCGGAACGUGCCCUGUAGUGGGGGCCCUCUCGAAAGAUUAGCUAAUACCGCAUACGACUGAGCGUGAAAGUGGGGGACCGCAAGGCCUCAUGCUAUAGGAGCGGCCGAUGUCUGAUUAGCUAGUUGGUGGGGUAAAGGCCCACCAAGGCGACGAUCAGUAGCUGGUCUGAGAGGACGAUCAGCCACACUGGGACUGAGACACGGCCCAGACUCCUACGGGAGGCAGCAGUGGGGAAUUUUGGACAAUGGGCGAAAGCCUGAUCCAGCAAUGCCGCGUGUGUGAAGAAGGCCUUCGGGUUGUAAAGCACUUUUGUCCGGAAAGAAAUGGCUCUGGUUAAUACCUGGGGUCGAUGACGGUACCGGAAGAAUAAGGACCGGCUAACUACGUGCCAGCAGCCGCGGUUUUUACGUAGGGUCCAAGCGUUAAUCGGAAUUACUGGGCGUAAAGCGUGCGCAGGCGGUUGUGCAAGACCGAUGUGAAAUCCCCCGAGCUUAACUUGGGAAUUGCAUUGGUGACUGCACGGCUAGAGUGUGUCAGAGGGGGGUAGAAUUCCACGUGUAGCAGUGAAAUGCGUAGAGAUGUGGAGGAAUACCGAUGGCGAAGGCAGCCCCCUGGGAUAACACUGACGCUCAUGCACGAAAGCGUGGGGAGCAAACAGGAUUAGAUACCCUGGUAGUCCACGCCCUAAACGAUGUCAACUAGUUGUUGGGGAUUCAUUUCCUUAGUAACGUAGCUAACGCGUGAGUUGACCGCCUGGGGAGUACGGUCGCAAGAUUAAAACUCAAAGGAAUUGACGGGGACCCGCACAAGCGGUGGAUGAUGUGAUUAAUUCGAUGCAACGCGAAAAACCUUACCUACCCUU